rnacentral:rRNA from 1 species
CACACUGCCGAGAAAAGCUUCUAGUUAGAAAACAACGGCCCGUACCGUAAACCGACACAGGUAGUCGAGGAGAGUAUCCUAAGGUGUGCGAGAGAACUCUCGUUAAGGAACUCGGCAAAAUGACCCCGUAACUUCGGGAGAAGGGGUGCUGUUCGCAAGAACAGCCGCAGUGAAUAGGCCCAAGCGACUGUUUAUCAAAAACACAGGUCUCUGCAAAAUCGAAAGAUGAAGUAUAGGGGCUGACGCCUGCCCGGUGCUGGAAGGUUAAGAGGAGUGCUUAGCGCAAGCGAAGGUACGAAUUGAAGCCCCAGUAAACGGCGGCCGUAACAAUAACGGUCCUAAGGUAGCGAAAUUCCUUGUCGGGUAAGUUCCGACCCGCACGAAAGGCGUAACGAUUUGGGCACUGUCUCAACGAGAGACUCGGUGAAAUUUUAGUACCUGUGAAGAUGCAGGUUACCCGCGACAGGACGGAAAGACCCCAUGGAGCUUUACUGUAAUUUGAUAUUGAGUGUCUGUACCGCAUGUACAGGAUAGGUAGGAGCCGUAGAGAUCGGGACGCUAGUUUCGAUGGAGGCAAUGGUGGGAUACUACCCUUGCGUUAUGGCCACUCUAACCCGCAUCACUAAUCGUGAUGGGAGACAGUGUCAGAUGGGCAGUUUGACUGGGGCGGUCGCCUCCUAAAAGGUAACGGAGGCGCCCAAAGGUUCCCUCAGAAUGGUUGGAAAUCAUUCGUAGAGUGCAAAGGCAAAAGGGAGCUUGACUGCGAGAGCUACAACUCGAGCAGGGACGAAAGUCGGGCUUAGUGAUCCGGUGGUUCCGCAUGGAAGGGCCAUCGCUCAACGGAUAAAAGCUACCCUGGGGAUAACAGGCUUAUCUCCCCCAAGAGUCCACAUCGACGGGGAGGUUUGGCACCUCGAUGUCGGCUCGUCGCAUCCUGGGGCUGUAGUCGGUCCCAAGGGUUGGGCUGUUCGCCCAUUAAAGCGGCACGCGAGCUGGGUUCAGAACGUCGUGAGACAGUUCGGUCCCUAUCCGUCGCGGGCGUUGGAAAUUUGAGAGGAGCUGUCCUUAGUACGAGAGGACCGGGAUGGACUUACCGCUGGUGUACCAGUUGUCUCGCCAGAGGCAUCGCUGGGUAGCUAUGUAGGGAAGGGAUAAACGCUGAAAGCAUCUAAGUGUGAAGCCCACCUCAAGAUGAGAUUUCCCAUUUCUUUAAGAAAGUAAGAUCCCUGAGAGAUGAUCAGGUAGAUAGGUCAGGAGUGGAAGUGCAGCGAUGUACGGAGCGGACUGAUACUAAUCGAUCGAGGACUUAACCUG